rnacentral:piRNA from 1 species
UAGUGGCUCCCGUGGGUCCCCGCCUU